rnacentral:rRNA from 1 species
CCUAAUACAUGCAAGUCGAGCGAACGGACGAGAAGCUUGCUUCUCUGAUGUUAGCGGCGGACGGGUGAGUAACACGUGGAUAACCUACCUAUAAGACUGGGAUAACUUCGGGAAACCGGAGCUAAUACCGGAUAAUAUUUUGAACCGCAUGGUUCAAAAGUGAAAGACGGUCUUGCUGUCACUUAUAGAUGGAUCCGCGCUGCAUUAGCUAGUUGGUAAGGUAACGGCUUACCAAGGCAACGAUGCAUAGCCGACCUGAGAGGGUGAUCGGCCACACUGGAACUGAGACACGGUCCAGACUCCUACGGGAGGCAGCAGUAGGGAAUCCUCCGCAAUGGGCGAAAGCCUGACGGAGCAACGCCGCGUGAGUGAUGAAGGUCUUCGGAUCGUAAAACUCUGUUAUUAGGGAAGAACAUAUGUGUAAGUAACUGUGCACAUCUUGACGGUACCUAAUCAGAAAGCCACGGCUAACUACGUGCCAGCAGCCGCGGUAAUACGUAGGUGGCAAGCGUUAUCCGGAAUUAUUGGGCGUAAAGCGCGCGUAGGCGGUUUUUUAAGUCUGAUGUGAAAGCCCACGGCUCAACCGUGGAGGGUCAUUGGAAACUGGAAAACUUGAGUGCAGAAGAGGAAAGUGGAAUUCCAUGUGUAGCGGUGAAAUGCGCAGAGAUAUGGAGGAACACCAGUGGCGAAGGCGACUUUCUGGUCUGUAACUGACGCUGAUGUGCGAAAGCGUGGGGAUCAAACAGGAU